GACGCUAUAGAGCUCCAUGAUGUCAGAGAGUUCAAGCAAGCAUGAUUUCGAAGAGGCAUAGUCUGCAGACAAAACGAUGAUUGAGAUAUUUGAGACUGCAAUUGCUCGAGAAAGUGCAUCUGAAAGCUGCUCCCCCCUUUCCAGUUUUUCUUCAUCGAAGAAAACAUCAAGUACCUCGUCUUUCAAAGCUUGAAGUAAGUGAGUGGUAAAAUUAAGGCGCGUGUCUUCACCUCUGAAGCUCAAGAAAACAUGAUACUUCAUUAGAGUAGAAGAAUAAGAAGAAGAAGAAGAAGAAGAAGAAGCCAUGGAAGAGUAUUGAAGCAAAAGAGAGAAAAUUUGCUUGGGUUGUGGUAUUAUUGUAAGAAGAAAAAGUGUAAAACAUGCAUAAUCUUUGGUAUCCUUUUAUUAAAUGGGAAAGAGAUUGAAGGCGUUUUCCUUAGACUUGAGCUUAGCCAAUUAUCUUAGUCAACACCACCGGAGAUAAUCAAUUCUCCUUUUUAUCUUUUACCGCAAAAGUGGGAGUGUUUUGAUGGUGGGUGGGCCCAUCAAACCCAAAAUGUUUCUUAUUUCAACGAUUAAUAAAAUAUAAAUUUAAAACUCGCGAUUAAUUGAGCUUAGUUGAGAGGAUAAGUUUACAGUUUUAUAAUAAAGUCCCUCGUGAUGUUCUAAAUAUUUUAAAUCAAGAUAAAGUUAAGGGUGCUUUUGAUCAAUUUAGUUUGAUGUAAUUUUUAUUUGUUUGUUUGUUUUUUACUAAAAAUUUGGUUAUUAUCUGAAAUCGAAUCGAAUCGAAUUUUAUUUUUUAUUUCAUAUAUAAUUAAUUUUAACUUUUUUUAUAUAAAAAUACCUAUUUUAUAUUUAAAAUAGUGAAAGUAAUUUAAAAGUUUUUGAAAAAUUAUUGUAUUUUAGAAAUAUUUAUGAAAAUAAAUUUAAAAUUUAUCAAAUAAUAUUUAAAAGCCAUAAAACAAAACUCAUUUUAUCAAAAUAAACCUUAAAAAUCAAAACAAAAAAUUAAUAUAAGAAACUGUGAACCAAACCGAGCCGAAUUAAACAAUUAUCAGGGACCAACAAAAGGUUAGCGAAUUAACUAAUUUGGGCUUGGUCUUGUCUUUUUAUUUUGUUAAGUAUAAUUAACUAUAUUUUUCUAAUAAUCUAUCUGGUUCAUUAAAACACAAUUAAGGCCUUCAGAUUGUAAUUUCUGACAUAUCGCCAAAGGUGGAGCGUAGGAAUUGUGCGAGGGACAUGUUUGCAAAUUGGUCAGGAAGGAAGCUAGGGAAAUCUUAUGAGUAUGAUUUCUGGCAGAUUGUGAAUUCCACAAUUGAGAAUGAAUGGGAGGAAUUAUGUGCAGCACUAUGUCCGACUUGACUUUCAUUAAAAUUUUAUGGAAACUACGGAUCACGGUCAUAAAAUUCAAAAAAAAUAAAACAUAACAAAUAGAAAACACCUACUCUGUGAUCAAUAUAAAACCAUAUGUUAGAAGAUUAACCAAUCUCAAGCAUCUAUUGAUUAUAUAUAGGGAACAGUUGGUAGGUUUACCUUAUCUAACAUGAAUAUAAAUCAGAAAUCAUGAACUGAAAACAUAUAUAUUUACUAACAUUUUAAGGAAAUAUGAAGCAUAAAUCAAUGGGUGAACGAAUCAUUGAAGUAAAAUGCAGAUAGUCUUGAGAUACAAUAUGAUUAAAUCUCUACUUACUGCCCAUGGCACAAGCACCAAUGGUAGAACCUAAACAAUUAAGCUGAAUGAUGUCCACCACAGAUCCUAUGAAUCAAAACCCACCGCCAUAAAAAAAUUUACUGGAAAACAGUUAAAUUUUAAUUUUGAUCCCUAUAUUAUUUUCAAAUUUAAGAUCUAAUUUCUGAAAAUUAGUAAGUAUUCCUAUUAUGACAUUAUCGAUUUGGAGUAUUCUCAAAUUUAAAAUGGAAUCCCUAUAUUUCAAAAUCACUUGUAGUGAAGCAUAGGCGACGAUUUGAGCUUAGCCAAUUAUCUUUGACGGCAAUAAAAAAUACAUGUGCUUGUGCAGCUUUGAUAAAUUGCAUAGUGAAUCUUGUUUUUUCUUGUCUAGUCUGUUCAAUAAAACUGAACUAUCUGACCCACACAUCUCAAAUGUUAAGUUAACAUGCGAUCUUAAAAGAAAUAUGGGUUAUGGUGAGAAGAAUUCAGAACACUUUUAUCUUCAACUCAAUUAAUCUAGUGGCUCCAAAUUGGCUUUUUUUUUUUUUGCUUUUUUUUUUACCAUUGGAUUCUAUUUGAUAAAACUAAAAAUAAGUUCUUUUCUUCAUAAGCAUUGUUUUUCAAAGUUGAAACCCCACCACCCAUUCAAUCCUAUCCAUUACUUGAUAAAAGCUGAAGCAUAGGCCACGAAUUUAGCUUACCCAAUUUUCUUUUACCGACAGAAUUGAGCAAUAAGAUUUACUCUUUUGACAGAAUUUUUUUAAAUGUCAUUCAUCAUAUAGUUACCCUCAACAAUUGUUCCAUAUCAAGAUUUUGUCUCUAACUUCCACGGAGAGCCAUUGUAUGGUUCACCGGACAGGAAACCUCGAUUGGUGGAGAAGAUACAUACUUGUAGGAGAGGUAAAAUAUUUAUCACGGGCAAAAUAUUUAAAACUAACAUCUCCCAAGGAGAAGGUUACUUAUGCCUUGAUUGGUGGUUUGAAUCUCCACAUGCAUAUUUUAAAAUGAUUAAUAUUUUUACAUAAUGCUCACGCUUCUCUCCUGAGCUCCUAAAAGCACGUAUCUCUUCCACCAAUUGAAUCACUCCACUCCCUAAAUAAUCCACAAGGCUCUCCACAUAGUUGAGACAUAAAAACUUCAACAUGGGAUAAGACCUCUGAUAGUUGAGUUAAAUACUGACUGCCCGACAAACAACACCACAAAGACUUCUCUUGAAAGAGUCGGACCCCCUCAACAAAUUUAAACCGAAGUUCUUUUUUCAUGAAAACCUAAAACAAUAAAAGUGGGACAAAAUAAAAAUUUAGAUUACAAACCAUAAAUAGUUUGAGCAAAAACAUUUAAAAUGAUGUUUUAUAAUGAAAACUUAUUUUAAUUAUGAAAUUUGAUCCGUAAUCAAACAACACAGCUCGUGUGUAUAUGUCAUGCUACGUACCUUAGCUGUAAAGGGUAUCAAGUAACUAGUCGACAAUCCAAAAUUAUAACUUAUUUCAAAUAUGACAUUUCCAUCAUUUUCGGUAUCCAAGAUAUCCAAAAUCUUCCGGGGAUUGAGUUUUAGCAUAGAUAUCAUCGUUGGCAUUACAAUAAUUAAGAGGAUGUGUUUAAAUAUUUUAAAAGUUUGAUAGUUUAUGAUAGAAGUAGGGAUUAUAUAAGAAAAUUAAAAUUCUUCCAAAAUGAUGGUGAUGAUUAGGAAUUUCCAAGUCAAGGUCUUCCAAUGGGACAAAAUUGUUAAGCAAGUGACUAAACUAAUAAAAGAGUCGUUGAACUAGUUAACUACUUGUGUUAAAUAAGUUCAAAUACUUUCGGUCUACUCAAAUAAAACUCUAGUUUGAACUACCCGUUAUUUAAAAUGAAGUAUUAAUUUAUAUUAAAGAUUUUAUUUAAGAUAUUUGGAUAACAUUUAAAGUUUGAAUGCUUAUUUGGGGUAUAAUACAAGUAUAAGAAAUUAUUUAGAUAAAGUGAUAAAACUUAAGGGCCUAUUUCAUAUAUUCAUAUAAGUAAAUUAUCUAUAGGAAAAAAUAUAUUUGUUGAUUUUUUAUAGAUAUUAUCUAUAUUAGUAGUUUCAACAAAUUGAAAUAAAAUGGGUUUCUUUUUAUAGUUAAAAUUUAUUUUAAUUUAUGAAAUUUCGUUUGUGAUCUAGUAGCUCUGCUCUUAUGUUGAAGGUAUACCUACUCAAGGGUCGGGUCAUUCAACCCUAUCUGAAGGCUUGUCUGAAAAGUGGGAGAAUUUUAGUAAAAAUAUAAACUCGAAAAAUGGGAUUGAAAAAAAAAACUUGUUUAAAAAACGGAUUAGGCCCAGGUAAGACAUUUUUUGCCCAAGCCUGUCCCAAACUCACUAAAUGACAAAAGAAUAUGCUAUUUUUUUGUUAUUUUAAUUAUAUAUUCUUAUUGUUUUCUCCUUAUUUUGCUACCAUUUCACUAUUAUGUUGCUAAUAUUUUGUUCUUAUUAUUUGGAUAUUGUAUAACACUUGUUUUACUGUUAAUGUUGUUAUUAUUUGAAAGAUAUUUGCUUGUUAAGUUGCAUCUAUGUUAGUAAUAUUUAAUUAUACAUAUUUUUUUAAAAUUUGUUUUCAAUUUGUUGAGAAAUAUGUAUUUUAAUGUUUUUAAUAUUUUCUAUAUAUUAUAUAUAUUUAAAAAAUCAUAUAAAAAUUUAAUAUGGGUGGGCUAUGUCGGGCCCAAGUUUUAGCAUUUUUAUCUAGACCGGACUUGGAUAAAUUUUUAAGCCCAUUUUUUAGCCAAACCCAGGUCUAAUAAAUAGGCCUAAAUUUUUACUUGAGCUCAACUCAGCCUGUCUCAGUCCAUGAGCACCUCUAGUUGUAUGUGAUGCUAUUUUUUAUUUUUGAAGAUAAUCAAUAACUAGUCAACAAUCCAAAAUUAGCCAUUGUUUCAUAUAUGCAUAUUUUUGGAAUGGGAUAAAGCAACAUUCAAUCUGACAUUUUUUCUUAACUUGGUCCUCAACUUGGUUUUUUGUCCAUAUUAAUCUUGAAACAUGUUAAUUUUUAGCAAUUUUGGUACCUGCGAUGAUGUGACAUUUUUAGAUUGAGCUACAUCAUCAAUUAAGUUAUUAUAUAUUUUAAAGUGCAACAUCAUUAUAGCGAUCAAAAUUUGAAAAAAAAGUACUCAUUUUCAUUAAAGUUCUCUGAUAACAAAAACUAAUUUAUCAAAUAUUAGCACAGAAAAAUUUAUAGACAUUCCAUUAAAUAACUCAUAAAAAUAAUUAUAUUAGGAUAGGCGUAAACUAAUUGAACACUUUUAAGAAUUUUUACAUACAAAAAGUGUUUUCUUUUCUUUUUAUUUUUUCAAAUCAAUGCAUUAAGUAUUUAACUAAGUCAUAAACCUUGAGCAGAUUCUACAUUAUACCUAAGACAUAGUUAUUAUGUAUCAUUAUGCAUCAAUUCUAUCAUACCAGGCCCUUGGUGCUUAAGAAAACUUGAUGCAUCAUUUGACGAGAAGAAGAUGAAGAAGACGCCAUGAAAGUGUAUGGAUUGUGAGAUUGAGGAAAAAGAGCACAAAUAAACCUUGGGAGCUUUGCUUUUGCUUCUGCUUUUUAUUCAAAUUCUCUUAUAUUUUGGAUCAACCUUCGAGCUUGACAUUUGCAUAUUGUUAGUAAUACGAGCUGUUAUCCUUAGAUGAAUAUCCAAUUUAAAGGGACUGUUUUUCUUGCCUAGUCUGUGAAAUAAUUGUUCCAUCCAUUAGUGUACUAUUUGGUCCCCGACGCCCCACAAUUAAGUUCACAUAAUAUUGAUUUUCAUGUGUUUUUUUCCUUACCUUCAUUCAUUGAUUGCAAAAAAGCAAAUCAAUACUAUGCUACAAAGCCGUCAGUCAUCCUCUUGGCUGAAUUUUCAUGGAAAAUCUGCAGAUUACAGUCUUAUAGCUGUAACUUAAUAACGCACCAAAGCAUGAAAAUUCACCACUUGAUAUUAAACACCCAUCAUCCAGUUUGGUUUUUAAAUAAGCACUUCGUUUUCUAUCAUAUGAGAUUAAUUUAUUUAAAAAUUGUGGAUGCAAGCUUACAACAUCUAUCACUAGCUAAUUUGUAAUGCUAAUGGACCUGAAUUUGUGUAAUUACUGCAAUAUAUAAUAAUCAGAGUUGUAUAAUUUGUGUUUUUUUCUUAUAGUAGAUCAUAGUCUAGGAUUACAGAAAAUUAAUUUAAUUACUAAGCUUCGAAUCUUGAACUUGUUGGAUAUCAUCUCAUCAAAACCAAUGUACAAACCAAUUCCAAAACAGAGUAGAACUCUGGAAUUUUAAUUACAAAAAGGGAAAAUUGAUUCAAGUUUUAGCCCAAACUGAUGUAACAAUCAAGUCAAAUAGCUUUACCAUGAAACCAACUCUUCAUUUUGAAGUUCCAACUAAACCAAAAUCAUUUGGAUUUUUUUUUCCAGGUGUUUAUGUUGGGUUCCUCUAUGGGGUAAAUAUCAAUCUAGCUUGAGAAUGAAAACUGUGAUAGGGUUGGCAUUGAAAAUAACAUCCAGGCUCCAUGUGUUCAUUCAACGAGUUUUGAGAUGAGAGCAACACUGCCAAAUUCUGCUUGCAUUUAUAUGGUCCAUUGAUAAAGCAGAGGGAAAGAAUACCAUGAGGAUACUAAUAAUCAGAAUGAGUCGAUAGUAAUUUACCCAAGAGCAUAUGCUUCCUCUCAAUGGGAUAAACAAGGCAACUCUGUUGACAAGUUGCAGUACUGCUUCAAUAUCUAAGUCCAACCACAAUAUAAAGAAAUCAUUUAGUAGACGAAAUUGAAGAUCUUAAAAGCUUACUUGUUACAAACAUCUGUUAUUUAUUCCCUCAUCUGCUUUCCUUACAUCAAUCAUUGCCACCUUUAUUCCCUUCACAUGAAUCUCUAGGUAAAAGGCCACAUCUAUAAAUGUGGAUUUUGUGGGAACUUCAUUUGUUGGUGAGAAAGAAGAAAUAAAAAAACCACCCAUAAUCUGCAACUUCAAUUCCAGUAGAGUAUUGAAUCUGUGUCUGGCUUCACUUUCAUGCAAGUUUUAUGAAAUCUACAGAUCACAGUCAUAAAAAAAAAUUAAAAAAAAAAAAAGAACAUAACAAAUAGAAAAUACGUACUCCUAGAUCAAUAUAAAAGCAUAGGUUAUAAGAUUAACCAAUCUCAAACAUAUGUUGAUUAUAUUUAGGUAAUGGUUGGUAGGUUUAGCUAACAUGAAUGUAAAUUAGAAAUCAUGAACUGAAAUAUUAUAUAUAUAUUUACCAACUUUCAAAGGAAACAUGAAACAUAAAUCAAUGGGUGAACAAAUCAUUGAAGUAAAAUGCACAUAGUAUUGAGAUGCAAUAUGAGAGCAGUAACAUACAAAGAAAUUUCAGCCCAAACUGAUAUGAUAAUCAAAAUCCAAGAUAAGAAAAUAUCAACUCCAAUAGCUCUACCAUGAAACUAACCCAAUCUAGCUUGAGAAGAAAACUGUCAAAGGUUGCCUCCAGCUCCAUGUGUUUAUCCCACAAGUUUUGAGAUCUGUUGCAAAUUCUGGAUUUAUAUAAUCCCAUUGAUAAAUAUGGGAAAAAUGGCGAGGAUUCUGAAAAUCAUUAUAUGAACCUAAAAUCAUGAUAAUAAGUCAAAGUCAAAAGGAACUUACUUAUCCACCAAGACUGAAUUGCCAGAACCCAAAAAGGGGCUCAAAAGAUUACUUUGACUUUGUGUUGACAAAUCUGUUGACAACUUGCAUUGUCACCAAAUAUCAGUUCAAACACUUAUAUAAAGCAAGCAUUCAGUAAAUAAAAUUGAAGGUCUUACAGCUCAGGUGUUCCUCCUUGUAUGGCUAAAGCUCCAAUUCAGCAGUGGCAUUCCCAAAGAUUUGUCAUUCCCUAAUCUUAAUCAACACAGAAGCAAAGGAUAUAAGAAAAAACAAUCUCACAAAUAACCAAUCUUUCUAAUGAAUCAAGAUAUGAUUGAAGGAAAAUGCAGCAAGCAUUGAGAUACCAGAUGAUACCAACGCUGGAACUAAACAAUGAAGCUGAACCGAGUCCACCAAAUAGCUAAAGCUCCAAUUCAGCAGUGGCAUUCCCAAAGAUUUGUCAUUCCCUAAUCUUACAUCAACACAGAAGCAAAGGAUAUAAGAAAAAACAAUCUCAAAAAUAACCAAUCUUUCUAAUGAAUCAAGAUAUGAUUGAAGGAAAAUGCAGCAAGUAUUGAGAUACCAGAUGAUACCAACGCUGGAACUAAACAAUGAAGCUGAACCGAGUCCACCAUUGGUCCUAUGAAUUAAAAAAAAAAAACCCAAUAACAAGUCAACUGUCAAUAAGAAUUAAGUAUGAAUUUUAAUAUUUGAAUUUUGGCAACCACCAAAAUCCCCUAUGGAUAUUUUAUCAACUCCAAAGCAGAAUCAUUUUGCUACUGUAUUGAAAUCUCCAGUUACUGUUCAAUUUUCCUCUAAAUUAAUUAAUAUAUAUGGAGAAUUUCCUUCUUGGACAAUAUAUGCUAUAUCUACAAAAGAACACAGACACGACAGGGGAAUGAAGAUGAGAAAAAUGAUAGUAAGCAACAAUCACAACUGUUAACAAAUUUCCAAUUUUAUGUUUCAUAAAUUAUGCUUUUAACAUUUACAAUGUGGAACUACAAGGUUUCAGUAUGGUAAAGCACCUUCUAGAAGACAAGCAAUUUAUAAAGCAGAGCAAGUUUAGAUUCAUCCUGGUCGGUUUUAAUUAAUUAAAGCACUUCAUUUGCUGUUAUUAAUUUAUAAGUUCAAAAUUUACUAUUAACAAUUGUGGAAAACAAAAGCAUGGCAAUAUGAAAAAUGAAAUGAAAAAACUGAAAAAUGUAUGAUAAUAUGAAAAAAUGAGAUGAAAUGAAACCCUUACCUAUGCAUUUGGAUGACAUAAUUGAGAAGUUGAAACUCCUCAAAAGCAGAGCCAAAGAUGGAAAGAAAUACAAACUAUUUCAAUCUUUUAAGUCCUCCAUCCCCUUCUUCACCAUCAUGGCUAAAGCUUCUUUUGUUCCCAGCAUGUCUCUUUUCAGUAGCAUCUGUAGCAUCUGUAGCAUCUGUAGCAUCUGUAUCAUCUGUAGCAUCUCUCUGCAUCCACGUAAAAUACAUGAACACCACAUCUCUCCACCUUGAUAUACUCUUUUCCUGCUCUUCUUAAAUCCAAAAGUCUGAUGUAGAAUUUGAAUGAUGCCUCCUCAUAAUUCUGGUCUUCUUUAACCAUAUCGGCGGUAGAUAGAAUAAACAAGUGAUAAUCCUUGUACUUCUCUGGCUUAGGAAACAAUAACAAAGAUAUUUUACUUCUAAGCUUUCCAUAACCACCACCACCACCAUCAUUGCCACCAUCGGCGGCUGUAAGUUGGUACCUACAAAUACAUUCAACAUUACUAAUGUAACGGCAGUGAGUGAGAUCAGCCACAAGGCAGAAAACAAAAACCAAAAAUCUGCUCCCACCACCCCCAUUUGGGGCUAUCUUCAAACUUAAGGAAGAAUUCAUGCUCUGACACUUGAACUUAUUUGCUGAAAUUUUGUUUCCUGGGAAACAACAAAUCAAACUUGACAAAUCAGGAAUCUUGCCACAGCAAUCAAACCUCGCUGCCCAUUUCUUAGCUAGGAAUCGAAUUUUGAGCAUGGCAUUUUCCUCAAUGUUAUUAAUUGACUCUUGAUUCAAGUUGAAGCAAUUACAGAAUAACAUGCGAAACACACCAUCACGUUCAUCACCUAAAGAAUCAAACUGAUAUAAAUUUUGAUCUGCAAAGGAAACUUUUUUUAAUGAUGUGCAGCCAUGUACAUUCAGGUAGAGCAGAUAUGGUGGAAGCUCUGAGAGUAAUUUGAGGCUCUUGCAACGAUUCAUAUGCAUAUACUUAAGGCUUUUAAACCUAAAGCUAGCUGAGCGCACAUCAACAGUUGGAAAUUUAACGAUUGGACAACCACUAAGAUCUAGAACUUCAAGGGAUUUCAACUUUGAAAUAUUGCUUGAUACAUCUUUUACCAUUGAGUUUGUCAAGGUCAACCGUUGAAGUCUGUCGAGACGCUCAAUGAAAUCAGGUACCUUUUUUAUUCCGGUUUCUGAUAAAUUUAACGUAUCAAAGUUAUUUGGGAUCUCCGGAAACUUCUUGAGACUACGACAUCCCUUAAGGCGAAGGGAUUUAAGUGAUGUCAAAUGGGCGAGGGAAGGAAGUUUAACCAAACUUUCGCAAUUUCCACAGGCAAGUUUUUCAAGGUUGAGGGCUCCUAAUAAAUUAGGGAUCUUCUUUAAAUUUUUGCAACUGAAAAGGUUAAUUUGCCGUAAAUGAACAAGAUCCUGCACAUGAUGAGAACAUAAAGUAGUUAGAGCAUCAUUUACUUAGACUCUAUCAAAAUAAAAAUUUAUAUUUGAUGUAUUGUUUCUUUUAAAAAAUAGAAUAAAAUCUUUUAUAUUUAUUUUUUAAAAAAUUUAAUAAAAAUAUGUUAUUUAAAUGCUAUAUCAAUUAUAAAUUCUUUUUCUUAAAAAAAUUCUUGGACAAAGAAAGUAUAAAAGUAUAUAUACCUGAUGAACUUCGUUCCAAAGUUGUUCCAUCUUUCCAUAUGGUAAUUCCAAUGCAAUAAGGUUCUUUGGAUUAUAACUUGAUGAUAAAGAUUUGAAGGGAUAAUAAUGCCAUACAAGAUACCUUAGCUCAUCCGGAAGAGAGAUAAUAUCAUCUUGGUAUGUAUGUAGCUUCUUAUACUCCUCAUGCUCUUUCCUCAACCAACUCCGUGGAAAAUAGAAGAAAAUAUAUCUAAGAUUAAUCAUGCUUUCAAAAACAGAAGGUUGGAAUAAUAGGUUACCCAUACGUGACAAAUCUACCUUUAUUCCUUGAAUUCGAUCAGUUCCCUGAUAACAAAAACCAAUUUAUCAAAUAUUAGUAUGGAGAAAUUUAUAGACAUCCAUUAAAUAACUCAUAAAAAAUAUAACUAUAUUAGGAUAGGCGUAGACUAAUUGAGUACUUUUAGGAACUUUUACAUACAAAAAGUGUUCCCUUUUCUUUUGUUUUUAUUUUUUCAAAUCAAUGCAAUAAGUCAUAAACCUUGAGUAGAUUCUACGUUAUACCUAAGACAUAGUCAUUAUGUGUCCAGUAUGAUGAUACUUGAUAUGAUAUCAAAUGUAUAGGUUGAUAUAGUGGCAUUCAACCAAAUGACAAUAUCUCAUUAAAGUAUAUUACAAAAAUAAAAGAAUAUAAAUAUAAUUAGUGCUUACUUUAUUAUAUUUGAGCACUUCUUCCACGUGUUUCAGAUUCCAUAGUCUACUGCACUUACCAAGGGUUUUAGAUUCUUGACAAACAAUGUCCUUUCCCAUCUCUUCAAGCGUAUCAUGCAUAUCAAUUGCAUCUCGUAAUAAUUUACAGGGGCCCAUCGUAGAAUAACCAAAAUAAUCAAUAGAGAAAUUAGUAGAUGAGACAUUGAUCAGGCAUUUGUCAACCAAUUUGUUCAUUCCACACUCUGCACCCUUAUAACAACCACUUAGAAUAAGUUUUGCUCUUUCCAUGGGUUCCCCUUUAAAGAAGCAUGCAAUGUCAAGAAAUAUAUUCUGCUCUACUAAAUCUAGUCCAUCAUAACUACUUCUCAAAGCCUCUGAAAUUUUUUUUUCUGGGGGACAGUCCUUUAGCUUCUCCGCCUUACUUUCCCAAUAAUUUAUACUUCUUUUAUUUAAAUCAGAACCCAAAACUUUAAGAGCAAGUGGAUUGCCUUGAGUGUACUUUACAAACCUACGGGAUAGAUCUUGAAAACCGACUGCGGGAUUCAACUGCUUAAACGCAAAGGUAGAAAAAAGUUGAAGAGAAUCGUUCUUAUUUAACCCUUUCACCUUAUGUAUUGUGUCAGCUCCUCCACUCUCAAGCACUUGUCUAUCUCUUGAUGUUAUAAUGGUUUUACUUCCAUAACCAAAAUGUUUAACACCCAUAUAAUCUAUUUGGUCUGAGUCAUCAACAUCAUCAAGGACAACAAGUACUUUCUUCUUGUUGAGUCUCUCUUGAGUUAAAGUGGAUCCAAUGGAGGGGGUGCCUAUAUCAACAUUUGAUUUCAAUAAUUCCGAAAGAAAUUUAUUUCGUAAAGAUUCCUUCCCUUGUUUUUUUAUUUCCUCUCUAACAUUUUGAAGAAAGCAAUGACUUUCAAACUCUGAAGAGAGUUUUUUAUAUACAACCUCAGCAAGGGUUGAUUUGCCUUGACCACCCAUUCCCCAAAGUCCUAUUACACGACAGUCUUUUUGCUUAAUCAGCUUCGAAAUCGUCCUUUUCUGAUCAUCUAUUCCAACCAAUUCUUCAGAAGCACUUUCAAACCCAAUAUUCGUCAACUUUUUUAUAACAUAUUCAACAACAUCUUUAAUGUACUCGGUUUCAGGUCUAGAAAACCAUAAAAAAUGUAAAUAAGUAAAUAUGAAAUCUAAAACAAAGAUAAGUUGAAAAUAACAAGAUAAGAAAAACAUAGUUACCUGUCAAAUUUGCCUCCUUCUAUAUGCCACCCUUUUAAUUUACCGACCUCUGCAAAAGCAGUUUUCCAUUGUUGUACUCUAUCAGCUGGUUGCUCUGAUUCAUGCUCUUCGAAGGUUGUCUUAAAAUGCCCACCACUAUUUCGCACAUCGGAAGGAUCAACAUGGUAAAAGACGGGAAGAACAAUAUGUUUGUCAGUGGGAUUGUGCUUGCGAUCCAUGAUGUCAGAAAGUUCACCUAAGCAUGAUUCUGAAGAAGCAUAGGCUUUAGAUAAAACGAGGAUUGAGAGAUUUGAGGCCGAAAUUGCUCGAGAAUACGUUGGUGGAAGUUUCUCUCCUUUUUUCAGUGUUUCGUGAUCGGGGAAGACAUUAAUUCCUACUUUUUCCAAAGCAUUGACUAGGUGAUUGGAGAAGUUGAGGCGUGUGUCUUCACCUAAGCUUAAGAAAACUUGAUGCUUCAUCAACUUUUGCAUAACAUACGCAACAAUAUCCUUGAUGUACUGGGUUUCAGGUCUAGCAAAUAAUAGAAGAAGUAUAUAUAUGAAAUCCAAAACGAAGAUAAGUCAAAUAUAAGGAGAUGAGACAAAUAUAGUUACCUAUCCGAGAUGCUUCCAUCUAUAUGCCACCCUUGUAAUUUACCAACUUCAGCAAAAGCAGUUUUCCAUUGUUUCACUUCAUCGACUGACCUCCUUGUUUCAUGCUCAUCAAAGGAUUUCUUAAAACUCCCAUCAAUAUUCUCCACAUCAGAGGGGUUAACAUGGUAAAAGAUGGGAAGAACAAUUUGUUGUUCGACGCUAUAGCGGUCCAUGAUGUCAGAGAGUUCAAGCAAGCAUGAUUUCGAAGAGGCAUAGUCUGCAGACAAAACGAUGAUUGAGAUACUUGAGACUGCAAUUGCUCGAGAAAGUGCUUGUGAAAGCUGCUCCCCUUUUUCCAAUUUUUCUUCAUCGAAGAAAACAUCGAGUCCCUCGUCUUUCAAAGCUUGAAGUAAGUGAGUGGUGAAAUUAAGGCGCGUGUCUUCA
rnacentral:lncRNA from 1 species